rnacentral:rRNA from 1 species
AACGCGAAGAACCUUACCUGGGCUCGAAAUGUUGUGGACCGGGGUAGAAAUAUCCCUUCCCCGCAAGGGGCCGCAAUAUAGGUGCUGCAUGGCUGUCGUCAGCUCGUGUCGUGAGAUGUUGGGUUAAGUCCCGCAACGAGCGCAACCCUUAUCCCCAGUUGCCAUCAUUAAGUUGGGCACUCUGGUGAAACCGCCUCGGAUAACGGGGAGGAAGGUGGGGAUGACGUCAAGUCCUCAUGGCCUUUAUGUCCAGGGCUACACACGUGCUACAAUGGCCGGUACAAACCGUCGCAAACCCGUGAGGGGGAGCUAAUCGGAAAAAGCCGGCCUCAGUUCGGAUCGCAGUCUGCAACUCGACUGCGUGAAGCUGGAAUCGCUAGUAAUCGCGGAUCAGAAUGCCGCGGUGAAUACGUUCCCGGGCCUUGUACACACCGCUCGCGA